AUUGAACGCUGGCGGCAUGCCUUACACAUGCAAGUCGAACGGCAGCACGGGUGCUUGCACCUGGUGGCGAGUGGCGAACGGGUGGGUAAUACAUCGGAACGUACCUUAUCGUGGGGGAUAACGCAGCGAAAGCUGUGCUAAUACCGCAUACGCCCUGAGGGGGAAAGCGGGGGAUCGCAAGACCUCGCGCGAUUAGAGCGGCCGAUGCCUGAUUAGCUAGGUGGUGGGGUAAAAGCCCACCAAGGCGACGAUCAGUAGCUGGUCUGAGAGGACGAUCAGCCACACUGGGACUGAGACACGGCCCAGACUCCUACGGGAGGCAGCAGUGGGGAAUUUUGGACAAUGGGGGCAACCCUGAUCCAGCAAUGCCGCGUGAGUGAAGAAGGCCUUCGGGUUGUAAAGCUCUUUUGUCAGGGAAGAAACACCGGCUCUAACACAGUCCGGGAAUGACGGUACCUGAAGAAUAAGCACCGGCUAACUACGUGCCAGCAGCCGCGGUAA
rnacentral:rRNA from 1 species